UACGUAGGCAGCGAGCGUUUGUUCGGAAUUACUGGGCGUAAAGAGUGUGUAGGCGGUGCUCUAAGUUCGGUGUGAAAUCUCCUGCUUAACUGGGAGGGUGCGCCGGAAACUGGAGUGCUCGAACGUGGGAGAGGAAAGCGGAAUUCCUGGUGUAGCGGUGAAAUGCGUAGAUAUCAGGAGGAACACCUGCGGUGUAGACGGCUUUCUGGACCAUUGUUGACGCUGAGACACGAAAAGCGUGGGUAGCAAACAGG
rnacentral:rRNA from 1 species